UGACCUCAGAUCAGGCAAGACUACCCGCUGAAUUU
rnacentral:rRNA from 1 species